GCAGACACAUUCCAGCCAAUCAGCAGCAGACCCUCCCUCCCAGACCCUCCCACCUCCUGGACAGCAUCCACUUUACAUUCAUUGUGAAGCUGCAUUCUUAGUGAGCUGUCCAGGAGGUGGGAGGGUCUGGGAGGGAGGGUCUGCUGCUGAUUGGCUGGAAUGUGUCUG
rnacentral:miRNA from 1 species